AUACCACUGAGGAGUCCCACAAUAGGACGAAACAACUGUCCAGUAC
rfam:Schistosoma mattheei strain Denwood, Zambia genome assembly, scaffold: SMTD_scaffold0007715